rnacentral:misc_RNA from 1 species
GGCAAACCAAACUAGCAGUGCCCCAGCAUAUUUUGAAAAGCACUUAAAUGCUUCUUGAAGUGCCUGACUUCCAGGCACAUAUAAAUUUCUAGAACCAUCAACAAUCAAUGAUAAAUGAGAGAGGAAAUUGGCUCCAAAUCCAUACGGCAUAAGAGGAUCAAUUGGGAACAUUUCUGAUGAACCCCAAUCACCAUCCAUGAAAUUGUUCCGCAUUUUUAGUUAUCAGUUCCUACAAGGGCCUUAUAGCCCCCCUAUCACUACCGAUACGGGCAGAAAUCACCUGAAAAUGUGAGUGGAUCAAGAAAAAAAAAAGAUUCUUGGAUUGAGAUUAAAGUACGUUAGGGUUUAUGAAUGAGUUUGUUAAUUAUCCCCUUAAAGGAAAGAAUAUGCUUUAUGGUUCUAGAAAAGAAACGAGAAAAAAGGUAUCUUUAUUGUUCCACCUUUUUAUUAUAAAUGGAAUGAAUCAUAAGAAGAAUAUAAUAUUGGAAAUUUAAAGAAAAAAAGGGAAAGCCGCAUGUUGAAUUAGAG